GCGAAGAUAGUGCAGCUGGUAAAGCACGCUUUCCGGAAUGUGGGUUCGAGUCCCGCAGCCCAUUUUUCGCU